UCAAGAGAGAGAGAGAGAAAUUGAGAGCACCAAAUAGAGGGCCAUUCGACCAACUCAAAGAAAGAAAGAAAAAAAAUCUUGGAGCUCAAACCUUUGGUUCAAAAAUUCAUCUCUUUUUGAAUUACUACUAAGCUCAAGACCCUCUUCAACGGGAUAUAAAUUUUGAGGCAAGAAAGUACUUUUUUUAGCAAGCGGAAAAAUUGGAAAAAAGAUCUUGGGGAACCCGAGACUUGAGGCGGGAUUUGUCUAGCGAGUGAUCGGGAUUUGUUAGCGAGCGAUUGAGAGAUUUGAAACCUUCUGGAGUAUGAUGUGCUGUGGCGCCAGUGUCGGAGUGGCGACCACGUUCCUGAGCCUUAUGCAUGAUUUUAUUUGCAUUAUUUAUGUUUUUAAAACAGGUACAGACGUUUGUUCUGGUGACCCGCCAGUGUAGGAUACAUUUUGCUACAUUGGAGUGCUCCUUUGACUCAGAGCCCAUACUUUUGGUAAAGACCUUUCAUUGUAUAUGUCUCUGUAUAUAUGUAUGACUAUCUGGGGUACGGCGAGGCCCUGUCCUGUCAUAUGUUUCUGUUAUGUUUUGUAGAGGCCCGUAGUCAUAUAUGUGGGUCAUGGGUCAUGUUUGUUCGUUUCUGUUUAUGAUCUGUGCCUUAAGCGGUCCCGGUUGCUGUUAUGGCCAAAACGGCCCACAUUUUUGUAUAUGUUUGUAUAUCUGGGCGAUGUGUAUUCCGCCAGCCUACCGGAUUUGAUAUGAUAUUUCUGUACGGGCAUCCGCUUAAGAUAACAUU